AAACUUGUGCUAAUACCGGAUAAGUCUUUACGGAGAAAGCUUUAUGCACCAUUGGAUGAGCCUGCACUUGAUUAGUUUGUUGGUGGGGUAAUGGCCUACCAAGACUGUGAUCAAUAGCUGAUUUGAGAGGAUGAUCAGCCACAUUGGGACUGAGACACGGCCCAAACUCCUACGGGAGGCAGCAGUGGGGAAUCUUGCACAAUGGAGGAAACUCUGAUGCAGCGAUGCCGCGUGAGUGAAGAAGGCCCUUGGGUUGUAAAGCUCUUUCGUCGGGGAAGAAAAUG
rnacentral:rRNA from 1 species